rnacentral:rRNA from 1 species
GCCUGCCCAGUGACUACGGGUUCAACGGCCGCGGUAUUUUGACCGUGCAAAGGUAGCGCAAUCACUUGUCUCUUAAAUAGAGACCUGUAUGAAUGGCUAGACGAGGGCUUAACUGUCUCCCCCCUUCGGUCAGUGAAAUUGAUCUAUCCGUGCAGAAGCGGGUAUAACUAUACAAGACGAGAAGACCCUUUGGAGCUUAAGGUACAAAAUUCAACCACGUUAAACGACUCCAUAGAAAGCAAGAACUUAGUGGCGAAUGAAAUUUUACCUUCGGUUGGGGCGACCACGGAGGAAAAAGAAGCCUCCGAGUGGACUGGGCUAAACCCUAAAGCCAAGAGAUACAUCUACAAGCCGCAGAACAUCUGACCAAUAAUGAUCCGACUGAAAAGCCGAUCAACGAACCAAGUUACCCUAGGGAUAACAGCGCAAUCCUCUCCCAGAGUCCAUAUCGACGAGGGGGUUUACGACCUCGAUGUUGGAUCAGGACAUCCUAAUGGUGCAGCCGCUAU